UGAGCUUGAUCCUGGCUCAGGAUGAACGCUAGCGGCAGGCUUAACACAUGCAAGUCGAGGGGUAUAAGUCUUCGGAUUUAGAGACCGGCGCACGGGUGCGUAACGCGUAUGCAAUCUACCUUUUACAGAGGGAUAGCCCAGAGAAAUUUGGAUUAAUACCUCAUAGCAUAGCAGCUUCGCAUGAAGCCACUAUUAAAGUCACAACGGUAAAAGAUGAGCAUGCGUCCCAUUAGCUAGUUGGUAAGGUAACGGCUUACCAAGGCUACGAUGGGUAGGGGUCCUGAGAGGGAGAUCCCCCACACUGGUACUGAGACACGGACCAGACUCCUACGGGAGGCAGCAGUGAGGAAUAUUGGACAAUGGGCGCAAGCCUGAUCCAGCCAUGCCGCGUGCAGGAUGACGGUCCUAUGGAUUGUAAACUGCUUUUAUACGAGAAGAAACACUCCUUCGUGAAGGAGCUGACGGUAUCGUAGA
rnacentral:rRNA from 2 species